ensembl:lncRNA
GUGAUGGUGUAGACUAUAUUACAUGGAUUUAUUGUGAUGGUGUAGACUAUAUUACAUGGAUUUAUUGUGAUGGUGUAGACUAUAUUACAUGGAUUUAUUGUGAUGGUGUAGACUAUAUUACAUGGAUGUAUUGUGAUGGUGUAGGUAGACUAUAUUACAUGGAUUUAUUGUGAUGGUGUAGGUAGACUAUAUUACAUGGAUUUAUUGUGAUGGUGUAGGUAGACUAUAUUACAUGGAUUUAUUGUGAUGGUGUAGGUAGACUAUAUUACAUGGAUUUAUUGUGAUGGUGUAGGUAGACUAUAUUACAUGGAUUUAUUGUGAUGGUCUAGACUAUAUUACAUGGAUUUAUUGUGAUGGUGUAGACUAUAUUACAUGGAUUUAUUGUGAUGGUGUAGGUAGAAUAUAUUACAUGGAUUUAUUGUGAUGGUGUAGACUAUAUUACAUGGAUUUAUUGUGAUGGUGUAGGUAGACUAUAUUACAUGGAUUUAUUAGACUUUUUAAGAUGUAGAUGUUCCAAAGGUCUGCAUCAGUGUCUUGUAGGCUGUGUGGAA